ensembl:lincRNA
CCCCCCCCCCCAUAAGAAGCUCAUGAAAACGCCAACCAUUGAGGACUACUUGGCAGAUAUUGGUAAAGUCAUCAAAGCUUUUUGAAUGUUUAUAGCAUGUUUAUUUAAUGUAUAACCUGUCCCAUGUCACUUUCCUCUUGCUCGUCGUCAUUUUUCAAUUGAAUAUUCACAGAGAUUAUGCCAUCGAUGAAUUGUUAAUUGUCUCCCUUACUUUCUACUUUUCUUUUAAAGUGAACGACACUGGCAGUGAAGAUGACAUUAUUUUAUUGGAUGAAUUGCCACAAGAUGGCCUGGAAUCUUUGGCAAGUGAUGUUCAUCCAUCAGGUACCAGGAGGAGCCAACGAUCAACUUCACAGAAACUGUUUUCUGUAGAAGUUUCCCAGGAACCGGCUCGUCAUGUUGGUGAACCCAAGACUUUCUUGAACCAUUUCCUUAUGUCAGACUGCUGCAUUUUCUUGCCUCUUCCUCAUGAAACGUUCUUGUAUGAGGUUCAGCUGCCUCACUCCUUGAGUGCUUUGAACAUCGUCGAUGCAAGUACUUCGAAAGCGGUCAAAGCAAGUUUGACUCGAAGCAGCACAUCGAUGAAGAAGCUCGUCGGUAUUCCCAAAAAUGAUGUAAAAAAUGAGGUGGUUGGGUUUGAAGAAUUGUCAAUUUCUUCAACCUUUCGUAACGUUGCAAAUAUUCCAAAACAAUCUUUGGAGCAGAGCACAUCUUGCAAAGUGAAGAAUCCAAAGAACACCAACAACAAUGUGGAGCAGCACCAGACAGGCUCUUUAACACCCACUGGUAGCAUCAAAAAGAGGUGAACAUUUUACAUUUUGCAUUCGGGGGUUAAAUUGAGAGGAUGGAUGGUUAUAGGGGGUUAGAGUGAUGGGAAUGGGAGAUGCGUUAUUCGGAUUGAGUAAGUCCGUGAAUUGUGGAUGAAAUGCUGUUUCAGACUGACUCUACUUCUUCCUGUUUGUUGCAUAAUCACAUGAGUCGCACUUUGUCCAAAUUAUUUGUUGCCUGUGCUUUUCCUUUUCUUUGAAUAAUGGAUUAUCCAAACUGCUCUAACCUUAAAAUGAAUAUAUGCUCCAUCCAAACAUUAUUCAAUCGGGUCUUCCAAGAUCAGGGUGUGCAUCGAUGGUGCAAUUUUGUCAAAUUAUUAGUUUGGGUUUGUUGCUUUUUAUCAACAGUACACAUGAUUUCCUUUAUGGCACUCUUUUGAAAUGUUUGAUAAGGAUACUUGAUGCCAAAAUUACAGCGUUCCAAAGUGUGCCUGUCAAAAUCCGAAUUUAUCGGUAUAUGGACACUAGUCAUUAACACCAAAAAACAACGUGAACAAAUCACAUGUAAAUUGAAUUAUUUAUUUUUCAGUUGUACCCUCAGUCUCCAAUUCUGUGUAUUGCGCACCGCCAACUUCUUCUUCAGACUGAUUAGGCCUUCCUUCUCUUUUCGAUUCCGUCUUUCUUCCCUCUUUCUUUCUCGCUUCAGUUGCUUUCUCCUGCGUUCUUUCGCCGCAAUGGAUCGUCCCCACUCUAAUGGCGAAUCCAGCUGUUCCCGAGUCACUGCCUGUUCUUUCUUCUUUUGUCUGUAUGCUCUCAUCUCUCUUCUUUUCUUUUCUCUGAUAUCGUCCAGCUGCAGCGGGUCCUUCCUCACCUUUGCUCUGGCUGCUUGCUUUCGUUCUUGGUCACGUUUUUUCAUUGACUCAUACUUUUCACUGUUCUUGCAUUUGGCUCUAUAUUGUUUGACAAUAACAGUUCUCUUGUUUUGUGGUUUGUCAACAUGGUCAGGAUGGUUAAUUUCAGUUUUUCUUCUUGCGAGUAUCCAUGAUUCUUGUGUUACACAGGAGUAAAAUCUGCGAUAAGAGAGAAAUAGGUGAAAUU